GCUUGUCUCAAAGAUUAAGCCAUGCAUGUUCAAGUAUAGCAAGUGUACAGUGAAACUGCGAAUGGCUCAUUAAAUCAGUUAUAAUUUAUUUGAUAGUGAAAUUGUACAUGGAUAACCGUGGCAAUUCUAGGGCUAAUACAUGCGUCAAUGGUCGGUCGACCAGUAUUUAUUAGAUACAACCAACCCUUCGGGUCCCUGGUGAAUCAUAAUAACUUAGCGAACCGCAUGCUUCGGCGGCGGUGGUUCAUUCAAGUUUCUGCCCUAUCAGCUUUCGAUGGUAGGGUAUUGGCCUACCAUGGCUUUGACGGGUAACGGAGGAUUAGGGUUCGAUUCCGGAGAGGGAGCCUGAGAGAUGGCUACCACAUCCAAGGAAGGCAGCAGG
rnacentral:rRNA from 1 species